UACAGAGGGGGCAAGCGUUAUUCGGAAUUAUUGGGCGUAAAGGGCGCGUAGGCGGCUUUGCAAGUGGCGGGUGAAAUCCCUCGGCUUAACCGAGGAACUGCCUGCCAGACUGUGAGGCUUGAGACCGGGAGAGGUGAGUGGAACUGCGAGUGUAGAGGUGAAAUUCGUAGAUAUUCGCAAGAACACCAGUGGCGAAGGCGGCUCACUGGCCCGGUACGUGACGCUGAGGUGCGAAAGCGUGGGGAGCAAACAGGG
rnacentral:rRNA from 1 species